CUUGGUCAUUUAGAGGAAGUAAAAGUCGUAACAAGGUCUCCGUUGGUGAACCAGCGGAGGGAUCAUUACAGAGUUGCAAAACUCCCAACCCUUUGUGAACGAACCUACCAGUUGCCUCGGCGGCGAGCCUUUCAGGCGGACCGCCGAAGGAAUACAAACUCUUUGCAUUAUAGUAUCUCUGAUUACUUAUUCAAUAAGUUUAAACUUUCAACAACGGAUCUCUUGGUUCUGGCAUCGAUGAAGAACGCAGCGAAAUGCGAUAAGUAAUGUGAAUUGCAGAAUUCAGUGAAUCAUCGAAUCUUUGAACGCACAUUGCGCCCGCUAGUAUUCUGGCGGGCAUGCCUGUUCGAGCGUCAUUUCAACCAUCAAGCCCUAGGCUUGUGUUGGAGCCCUGCGGCUGCCGCAGCCUCCUAAAAACAGUGGCGGGCUCGCUAUCACACCGAGUGCAGUAGUUUACUCUUCGCUCAGGGCGUGUGGCGGGUGCUGGCCGUGAAACCCCCUACUUCUUAAGGUUGACCUCGGAUCAGGUAGGAAUACCCGCUGAACUUAAGCAUAUCAAUAAGCGGAGGA
rnacentral:rRNA from 1 species